UCCGUGUUCCUCUUUGGAGGUGCUCUCUCUUGCUCCUUCGCUCCACGGUCGGCCAUCUCCUCCGACUCCGGCCAUUUCAUCCGACGACUUGAAGGCCAACGCCGUCUCCGUAGCAACCAAGUCCAUACUCCGACUGUUUUUGACAGAUCUCAUCGCGCCAAUUUCAAAGCUUCAUCCCUACACCGAACGCAGACAUCUCCCUCCACCUAUAUUGUGUAAGCUCGUUCUCCUCCUCCGUCCACCACCUCGCGAGAGCUCUCUUCCCUUGUUGCUUGUUGAUACCGCCCAACUUCACCUCUUUCCUAAAAUUUCUGGCCCAUCAACUUGUCGAACCCUAAAAAAUUGGGUAUUUCUUGCUGGUGCUACUCUCUCUCUCUCUCCAUACCUAGGUACGCAUUAUAACGCAUACAUGUUUCAAUACAUAUGCACCAAUCGAUUUUUUCAUGGCCUAUAAUAUGGAUGCUACUGUCAUUUGGAUAACUUGAGCAGCAAAACGUGUUCCACGUAUGUAAUGUUGAUUUUUUAAUGUGACCACCCAAAGUUCAAACCCCAAAUACUUCUCCAAAUGUAUAAGAUUUUCAAUUUGAAGUGCAUUUGGAAUUGAAGUUAUUGUUCUGAAUGUCUCAUUAGGUUGGUCCUGCAUCUCAAUCGAUUUGGGAGUGUGUUCAGUUCUCGCGAUGUGGCAACAAUGGUUGGAGCUCGAUCUGUCCACCUUUUUGAGUGUUAAUUAGGAAGAACUAAUCACAUCACGGAGGGAACCAUCGUCUCUUCAAAGCGGCAUGCGAGCCACCACACUCAUUGAACCAUUUCUAGUAAUUGAGGUGAUAGCCAGGAGCCCAUGAGAUUGUAUAAUCAUGGCAGCCUACGAGUAUACAUGGAAUGAUAUUGACGAAGGAAAAGUUUGCUCCUUUGCCUCUUAGAGGAUACAUGAGCUGGAUGGAAAGGUGUAUCAGUUCUUACUUUGUUAGUGAUGUUAGUGAAGCUUCUUUUGUGGAACACUUAGUGGCUAUGGCUUGGACAAUAGAGUUUUCAUACUAUCGCCAUUCUUCCAGAUCGUGUGGUCAAGAAUGAUUGAAAGAAACAAUUUUCCCUUAGAUGAGAGAAGAGCAUAUGGACUCCACACAAGGUCUAUGACUUGAAAAAGAAAAAAGUUUCGUUACUUUCACUAUUGAAGAUGGAUGGAGAUCGCUCUACUGCCGGUUGAUCAAUAGCUUCUUUAUGAGUUCAUCUGCUGUGGUUUUUUUGGUUGACACGCCAUAAGAGCUUCAAGGAAGGACACAAGAGGAUACUUGAUGCAACAUAUUUGGUGGGUGGGGGAAUUGACAUUGAGCGAGUUAACUUUGUCUUCAACUAUGACAUGCCAGAUUCUGCAGAUACUUAUCUGCUCUGCGUAGGAAGAGCUAUUAGGUUUGGUACCAAAGGACUUGCAAUCACAUUUGUUUCAUUUGCAUCAGAUUAUGAUGUUCUCAAUCACAUUUUUUACUCAACAUCAGUGCACAUUGGCUUGAUCAUAUUUUGAUAUGUGGAGGACUUAGAUUUUGCCAACAAUUGUCCAUCAUAGCAAUCAAUAAAUGCUAUAGAAAGUUUUUAACAGCGGGCAAUGAACGCUAUAGAAAGUUAAGACUUUUAAUAACAUGGGCUAAUACAGCGUUCUCCGAAACGCUAUCUAUUACCUACUAUAGUGUUUUUUGCACGCUGUGAAAGGCGUUUUUUGUUGUAGUGUGUGGAUGGAUUGUGACUGUACAUGGGAGUUUCUUGUAAUGUUUUUACUUUGUGCUAGGAAAUGGAAAAGACGAAAUUCUAACUUCAAGUAUUUGGUUAUUGUAAUGCAAAUGUGACUGCUUGUUUGGAGUUAAUGGUCUGAACUUUUUUCUUCCAGUUUAACUCUUUCUUAAUGGCCUCAUGCAGCACAAUGGGUAAAAGGCUUGCACAAACUGACCGAAGCAUAUUGAUGCAUCUUUGAUUCAUCCAAGCACUUGUUUCCCUUUUACGCACUUUAGCUAUGCUUUUUGUCAUUGUUUGUUUUGUUUUUUGGUUGGUUUGUUUUCAUUUGUGGUUGGAACUUAUUUACUAAUGAUAAUGAUAAAUUACCGGUGUCCUUAUUGGAUAGGUGUCCAAGACUCCUUCUAAUUGAUGAUGAUGUUUUGCAGGUAAGAAGGGUUUUUGGAUUGAAUUGCAUUGAACUUGUCAACCAUGUUGAACCUGCUAUUAAGGUAAGUCUUUUGCCAUUUGUAGUAUACUUGUGGAACUCUUGGGAAGUUUGAAAUUCAUCUUGGAUAGUAUUAAUAUGAAUGAGUGGUGACAUCGGUUAAUGACUUGCUGGUUAGUACAUCAUGCUUUUCCUAUUUACAUUCAUCAUGAGAAAACUGGGCUGGAGUGGGCUAUAUAUUUUUGUUGGUUUGAUUUUCUACUUUUUUUUGUGCCCUUUUUGAGCAUAUAUUUUCUAUUUAUAGAGAUUAUGAAAGUUUUUAUGUUCUCUGGUUUGAUGUUAACUAUCUCCACAUCCUAUGAGUCUAUGAUAAACACAAAUAGUCAAUCAAGAAACAAAUAGGUUAUGUGGUAUUCCUCUUGCUUUGGUAUUGCUAUACUGUUUGCUGCUGUGGUUUUUCUUCAAGAGACCUAAUGUUUGACACUAUCCAGCUUGGUUUCUGUUGUAGCUAAUAAUCAUGGAGUUUCUGGGCUAUUAUUUCUCUGGUUUUAGACUCUUAUUGCUCUGGUUUUGCUAUGCUACUACUGCAGUGGUAUAUCUUCAUCUAUAGAGAUCUGAUGCAGUUGUUGAUGCUAAUCAUGGGACUUUUUCAUCUGUUGCUGAUAUGUGGUUUGAGGGUCUGCUGAUCCGUCAUGUCCCAAAACAGAGAGGUUUCCACCUCCUUUACGACGGGGACACGGCAUGCACACGUGGGGACACAACAUAUAUGGGGACACACAACUCCUUAGGUGUAUAAAAGCUUGUAGCUUAACAUAACAAUCCUUGUAUUAUUCUACAUUCUGCAUUUAAAUUCAGUAGGACUAUAAGUAUGGGCGGCCUUAAUUUUUCAAACGGGCAUGGGCAAAUCUCUCACAAAUAUUGCCAAUAAUAACACAAUUAUGCUUAGAAUCUGACUAUACCAUUGGAUCAAUUAAACAUGGCUAUUAGACAUACACUUUACAGAUAAAUAGGCGACCAAGUUAUACAAGAGUAUGAGGCUUUUUAUCUCUUUAAAAGUUUGGUUCUGUGCAUUAAUCUUCCCAUGCGGUGAACUUUUCCUUGCUUAAGGUCGUGGUACUGGUGUUGUAUUUUGAGUUAGGUCCUCACAUGUUUCAUUUGUAUAUUGUUAAG